GACGAACCGUGCGAACGUUGUUCGGAUUCACUGGGCUUAAAGGGCGCGUAGGCGGGCCGGCGAGUCGGGGGUGAAACCGUUCGGCCCAACCGGACGAGGGCCCCCGAUACCGCCGGCCUCGAGGGGGGUAGGGGCGUGCGGAACUUCCGGUGGAGCGGUGAAAUGCGUAGAUAUCGGAAGGAACGCCGGUGGCGAAAGCGGCGCGCUGGACCCCGCCUGACGCUGAGGCGCGAAAGCCAGGGGAGCGAACGGG
rnacentral:rRNA from 1 species